rnacentral:lncRNA from 1 species
UGUCACUGGAAUUCAUUUCAGUUAUCUCUGUGCAAUACAUUUAAACCUGUUUCUCCAUUAGAUAUCUCAAGCAAAUAAAACAUACUAUCCCGAAGACGAACACAGAACACAAGACCUAUGAAUUCUAUAUCCUCUCAGGCUUACAAGAAGAAGACAGGCAUGACCCACCUCUCUGUUGAGACUCCAGGACUCACAGCUCUGGUAGUACACUCCUCCCAGCUGGUUUUAAGAAGGACAGAGAAGUCUAUAAACAUAAAUUGCUUUCUGGAG